rnacentral:lncRNA from 1 species
UCUCAGGAUUGGGCAGCUCUGACAGAUCAAGUUGUGGGUAUAAAAUUCGAAUUACAUUCUGACAAAAGUUGUAGCCGGAAUGGCACCCGACAGCAAAGGAUAUGUGGACCGUUGACUGGCAAUUGUCCAUUAGCUGCUCAUGAGAUCAAGAAUAAGAAGCUCUUCCUCUUCCCGCCAAAGAUCAGCCUUCUAGUUUUCUCUCUCCUGACUG